rnacentral:rRNA from 1 species
UACGUAGGGGGCAAGCGUUGUCCGGAAUCAUUGGGCGUAAAGAGCGUGUAGGCGGCCCGGUAAGUCCGCUGUGAAAGUCCAGGGCUCAACCCUGGGAUGCCGGUGGAUACUGUCGGGCUCGAGUCCGGAAGAGGAGUGUGGAAUUCCUAGGUGUAGCGGUGAAAUGCGCAGAUAUCAGGAGGAACACCAAUGGCGAAGGCAGCACUCUGGGACGUGACUGACGCUGAGACGCGAAAGCGUGGGGAGCAAACAGG